rnacentral:lncRNA from 1 species
UGCCGCCGAAAGUGCCCUGUCCAGCCUUCCUUUGCAUGUUUUUCUAUGAUUGAUUCAUGAUGUUUUAGGGGUUUUUGGGGAGUAGUUUAGAGUUAUGUUCAUGAAUGUUUGGUCCCUCAUUUGAGUCCACCUGUGUAGGUUCGGACCCGAGGAACCGAGGACCUCAGCAGUGAGUCAGCUGCUCCAGUGUCUGGUCAGAGCUAUCCAGAGGUGAGUGGAGUAACUCAUUACGUUUUUAAAGCAAAUAAAUGGACAUUUUAGCAUGAUUCACGCAUCAUUAAUGCCAUGAGAUAUACUAGGUUGUUGCAUUAGAAUUCACGAAUAUGUUGCAUUGCAUAAUCUACUGUUGUUGUUGUGGAUGAAUGUUGGAUGAUCUAUAGCCCUCGAUCUAUGAUGUGACGAUGCGAUAUGUACGGUACGGAAUGUAAGACCAGUGGAACCCAUUCUACAUUCGCUGGCACUAUGUAAGAGAAAGUCCAAGACCCAUUCUACGUUCUGGCACAUUGGAAUGUUAUGUUAUGCUAUGUAAGAGAAAGACCAGGACCCAUUCUACGUUCUGGCACAGUUGGACCAUGUAGAGGGCUAUUGGUGAUAAAUUCAUCCUUGAUGUGAUAUGAUUGUGAUGUGAUGCAUUCCAUGUUAUCAUAUGUUUUAAAAGUUUUAUUAUUCUGCUCACUGGGCUCUAGUAGCUCACCCCUCUCCCUUAACCCCCAGGUUUGCAGGUACAGGGUAGACCAGGAGGUCAGCAAGAGUAUUGAAGUCUUGUUUAUGUAAUAGAUAGUGUGGACAUGAUAAAUGUAUUUGAUGUUAUGUAAAAGUACAGUUUAGACAUGUAAUGUAAUGUGGCUUAUGGAUGAUAGAGGUGUG